CCUACGGGAGGCAGCAGUGAGGAAUAUUGGUCAAUGGACGCGAGUCUGAACCAGCCAAGCCGCGUGCAGGAGGACGGCUCUGUGCAUUGUAAACUUCUUUUGUCCGGGGGUAAACGCCGAUACGCGUCUCUGUCUGAGAGUAUCUUACGAAUAAGCAUCGGCUAACUCCGUGCCAGCAGCCGCGGUAAUACGGAGGAUUCAUGCGUUAUCCGGAUUUAUUGGGUUUAAAGGGUGCGUAGGCGGUCGGUUAAGUUAGAGGUGAAAUCCCGGGGCUCAACCCCGGCCGUGCCUGUGAAACUGUCAGGCUAGAGAGGAGUGGAGGUAGGCGGAAUGUGUGGUGUAGCGGUGAAAUGCUUAGAGAU
rnacentral:rRNA from 1 species